CCUCUCCCCUCUCCUUCCCCGUGGCCGCGGCGGCGCGGGACUCGCUCACAGAUGAUUUCCGACUCACCUCGUUCCCCAGCGUCUGUUUACCCCUGCCCCCCUAAAACACGCACACGCGCGCUGGGCCCCGCAGACCCGGCAGCGGCGGAAGCACGAGUUUCCGUGGGAUGCGCGUCGACCCGCACGUGCCUCUCGGGGAACCGCGGCCGCCGGGGGCCCCCAGCCGGCAUGCGGACUUGAAUGCGCACUGAGUUGCCGGUGUCGCGGGCGGAGUUCGGGUUUUCACCCCCACCGCACCAACCCCAUCCGGCUUCUUUCAGGUUCACCGAGGGAUCCACGAAGGGUGAGAAGCAGAGGUGAGCCAGGACCGUGGGCUGUCAUGGGAACCAGCUUGCAAGUUCCAGGAGGGCGAGUUGAGGCCUCUCCCAGGACUGCCACUGACCUGUGGUGCGGCCGGCUCCAGGUCAUCACACUGGCCCACCACCAUGGUGCCACCUCUUCUCCAGCCAGGGCAGCAUUUCAUUCAGAGAAGAUCAUUUAAAAUGCUGCACCGAGGACCUGCACU